rnacentral:rRNA from 1 species
UACGUAGGGUGCAAGCGUUGUCCGGAAUUAUUGGGCGUAAAGAGCUCGUAGGCGGUCUGUCGCGUCUGCUGUGAAAACUCAGGGCUUAACCCUGAGCUUGCAGUGGGUACGGGCAGACUAGAGUGCGGUAGGGGAGACUGGAAUUCCUGGUGUAGCGGUGAAAUGCGCAGAUAUCAGGAGGAACACCGGUGGCGAAGGCGGGUCUCUGGGCCGGUAAC